rnacentral:rRNA from 1 species
AUUGAACGCUGGCGGCAGGCCCAACACAUGCAAGUCGAACGGUAGCAGGAAGAAGCUUGCUUCUUUGCUGACGAGUGGCGGACGGGUGAGUAAUGUCUGGGAAACUGCCUGAUGGAGGGGGAUAACUACUGGAAACGGUAGCUAAUACCGCAUAACGUCGCAAGACCAAAGAGGGGGACCUUCGGGCCUCUUGCCAUCGGAUGUGCCCAGAUGGGAUUAGCUAGUUGGUGGGGUAACGGCUCACCAAGGCGACGAUCCCUAGCUGGUCUGAGAGGAUGACCAGCCACACUGGAACUGAGACACGGUCCAGACUCCUACGGGAGGCAGCAGUGGGGAAUAUUGCACAAUGGGCGCAAGCCUGAUGCAGCCAUGCCGCGUGUAUGAAGAAGGCCUUCGGGUUGUAAAGUACUUUCAGCGGGGAGGAAGGGAGUAAAGUUAAUACCUUUGCUCAUUGACGUUACCCGCAGAAGAAGCACCGGCUAACUCCGUGCCAGCAGCCGCAGUAA